ACCCCUGGUGAUCAACUUAGGAUUUUGUUGAUCAUGAAAAUUUUUAGAUAAAAGAUCAGAAAUUACAAAACUGCCCUUGAAAUGCUGUACCAGUUCUGAAAUAUUAUCUCUGGACAGGCCCUGAUAUGCUAAUAAAUGCCCUGUGCUCCAAACUAUACAGGUAGCAUGUGAAGACAGCAGUGAGAUCCCUCCUGAGGACUUGGUAAUAAGAUAUCCCCAGAGGGUCAAACUAGUUUAAUCAUCAUGUGAGAAGAGCCUCAACGUUUCCCAGAUGUGGAAAUUGAGGCACAGAGAGGUUUAGUAAUCAUCCAAGGUCACUCAGCUGAUCCUGACGAGAUAGGGGAAGAGAGCUGCCACAGUAUAAUAUAACCAGGAGCUGACAACUGUACACAGUGCCCAGUAGGCUAGUAAUGGACGUGGAAGCGCCCAUGGGGAAUCUGUUGAGUUGGACGCACACAGGAGACCCACCCCGUUCUCCACCAUUCACAGUAGCCGUGGCUGCCAGACGCUCCCUUCAGCUUCUGAUUCCAGCCAGAGUCUUGCUGUCAUGGACUUCACA